GAGGAAUAUUGGGCAAUGCCCGAAAGGGUGACCCAGCAACGCCGCGUGGAGGAUGAAUGCCGUAAGGUUGUAAACUCCUGUUAGAGGGGAAGAAUAAUUCCGAUCGACUCGGAAAUUGACUGUACCCUCAGAGAAAGCCCCGGCUAACUACGUGCCAGCAGCCGCGGUAAUACGUAGGGGGCAAGCGUUGUCCGGAUUUACUGGGUGUAAAGGGCGCGCAGGUGGGUUGACAAGUCAGAGGUGAAAUCCUACAGCUUAACUGUAGAACUGCCUUUGAGACUGUCAAUCUUGAGUACGGAAGAGAGAGAUGGAAUUCCAGGUGUAGUGGUGAAAUACGUAGAUAUCUGGAAGAACACCAGUGGCGAAGGCGGUCUCUUGGUCCAAUACUGACACUAAGGCGCGAAAGCGUGGGGAGCAAAC
rnacentral:rRNA from 1 species